rnacentral:rRNA from 1 species
UACGAAGGGGGCUAGCGUUGUUCGGAAUUACUGGGCGUAAAGCGCACGUAGGCGGAUCGAUCAGUCAGGGGUGAAAUCCCAGGGCUCAACCCUGGAACUGCCUUUGAUACUGUCGAUCUGGAGUAUGGAAGAGGUGAGUGGAAUUCCGAGUGUAGAGGUGAAAUUCGUAGAUAUUCGGAGGAACACCAGUGGCGAAGGCGGCUCACUGGCCCGGUACUGACGCUGAGGUGCGAAAGCGUGGGGAGCAAACGGG